rnacentral:rRNA from 1 species
CCCUUAGAUGUUCUGGGCCGCACGCGCGCUACACUGAUGCAUUCAACGAGCCUAUCCUUGACCGACAGGUCCGGGUAAUCUUCGAAUCUGCAUCGUGACGGGGAUAGAUUAUUGCAAUUAUUAAUCUUCAACGAGGAAUGCCUAGUAGGCGCAAGUCAUCAGCUUGCGUCGAUUACGUCCCUGCCCUUUGUACACACCGCCCGUCGCUCCUACCGAUUGGGUGUGCUGGUGAAAUGUUCGGAUCGGCCGUUUGUCGCGGUUUCCGCGGCUCGUGGCUGAGAAGUUCAUUAAACCCUCCCACCUAGAGGAAGGAGAAGUCGUAACA